UACGGAGGGGGCUAGCGUUGUUCGGAAUUACUGGGCGUAAAGCGCACGUAGGCGGUGAUUUAAGUCAGAGGUGAAAGCCUGGAGCUCAACUCCAGAACUGCCUUUGAGACUGGAUUACUAGAAUCUUGGAGAGGCGGGUGGAAUUCCGAGUGUAGAGGUGAAAUUCGUAGAUAUUCGGAAGAACACCAGUGGCGAAGGCGGCCCGCUGGACAAGUAUUGACGCUGAGGUGCGAAAGCGUGGGGAGCGAACAGG
rnacentral:rRNA from 1 species